UUGGCAUGGAUACAUGAAAGGGUGGGACUUAUGGUUAAUUUGUGUUGGUAAUUUGGGAUAGAGUUUAGUAUAUCAUUAAUAAGAUGUCUAAGAAAAAUUAGCUUCAAGUUUUCUAAUGACUAGAGUAUUGAAAACUAGUCGGUGUAUAACUGAUAGUCAUGUUGGCUGAGUGAUUAAUAUUUUUUUGAUCUGAGAGUUCGUCGCCUAAUCCCAGUGAAGUUCUAAACGCUGACCGCGGUAUGAGCUCGGCCUACGCGAUCGCGUCUGUUUAUAUUGUUUAUUAUCGCAACACAAGAGAUGUUUUUCGUUGGUCAAUGUUGGGAAGACUGCUCUUGCUGUCAUUCAUUUUCUUAGAAUUUCAUUCGAUUAAAAAUAUUACGUGCUGCCGUCCGUGCUUAAUUUUAUAAACCAUAAUAAAAUAUAGUGUAGUGCGAUGACAGUGAAAAUAGAUUUAACCGACCAUUUUUGCGUCCGCUAACUAUACCGUGUUUUCGUCGUUUCGUUUUCUAACUUUUCUUCGGUGAAAUCUAUAGUCUGACGUCAGUUUAUGGCAAUAAUGGUUAGCACACAAAAGUAUGCUCUGUGCAACUCUGUUUUUAGCCUGCGAUCGCUGGUCGGUAUAUUUUUUGAUAAAACAGUUGUUUUCUUCGCUGUUUGAUCGAACCGUUUUCGAACAAAUAACGUAUAUCAUCAUCACCUCCGGAUUGAAAAAAAGCGCUGUCCGUUUUCAGAAGAUUACAUGCUGCCACACUAGUCAAGAAAAACAAAAAAUUAAAACGGAGGGAGAAACGUUUCCCCAACCCAGUCAAACAUAAAUAUAAUACACCAUUAAACCUAUACCUACACACUACGAAUCAUAUAGAAAACCAAAUACACGAAAAACUAUUAUGAUCAAAAAUCGUCUCUCCAAUCUAAUAACUGCAGUAUAAGUUUAUUCACGAUGAUCACCGCUGCAGUAUUUUAGGUGUGUGUAAUGACGAGUAACAUAACAUAACAUUGGAAUGGCGAUGAUUUCUCCAUUUGAGAUCAUACAGAUAUUCGGCAUGCUCAAAUAGUUCGUCUCUCCGUAUUCGCAAUACAAUAAUAGUAAAUGAUAUUGUUCGAACUCAUGUAAUGAUAACACUGGUCACUGGUCAUUCGUUAAAAUUUGUGAAAAAUCGGAAGUUGGUAUCGUUUUGCAGUAGCUACUUUCAUCUUCUUAAAGAGGUUUACACAGACGAUAUGCCAUUCAAUCAAAUCACUCGCAAUAAUCAUGACGCAUCAAGGAUCGCUGUUCGCCAAUGGAAGGAAUGCCGGCCCGUAUACACCACAGAAGAGGCGAAUAACGAAUCACACACAUACACAAACAUAAUAUGUGUAUACAUUUAUACAACGCACUAUCAAAAACGAUACCGUAUCCGAAAUUAAUAUAUAUUUUCUUCUCUCCUGUUUUUGGGACGAAUAGUUUAUGUGACAGAAAAUACAUUAUGCGCGGCGGCGACGGUUCACCGGACGAUUGCGUGCGUACCUAUAUAUGUGUAUACCACGUUAGGUAUGUAAUGCAAGCGUCUAUUAUAUUCAGGAAGCCACAGUGGCUGCAACAGCGACUUGAUAUCAAUCAAAAGGACGAAUAAUAGAUAUAAUAGUAUAUUAUAUUUUUAUGCAUAUGGCGCGGAGAAGGAGGAGGAAAAGAAGAAGAAGAUAAAUAAGAAAAAGAGAAAAACUCCCGCAACGCGUUAUAAUAAUAAUAAUGUAUAAUACCGUCGUAUAUACGCGCACGUGGUGUGACCUACGUCUGAGUGGCGUCGGCAGCAACGUACGAAUGAAUGGAUUUCGCCAAGAGAAAACAGCAGUGCCACGUCGUAUUAAUUAUACACAAAAUGUGCAUCGAGACAUACUAACUCGUAUAAUUUACCUGUGCAUAACGAUAAUAUAUAGGGCAAAACACGUUUCCGUUUGCUCUAUUCCACCAAUUAUAUCCGUUUUCAGCAAAUAAGCUGAUGUUGAUCGAUUCCAGCAUGCUUCCACCAAAAUGAUUUCUAUACCUAAUAAGACUAAUAUAAUAUUAAUAUAAAAAUUUUUAUUAUAAUUUUUUUUUACGACUUUUACAAUAAUGCUGAUGUUAAAUGCUGAGAAAAAAAUUCGCAAACUACAAUAAUGUUGACAAAUUUAUUAUAGUUAUCUUUAUUUUUUUUGUUGAUUUAAUUACACUAUGUAUUCGACUAGAUACCGGAUACUCUAACUCUUUCGAUACUUUUACAGCAGAGUUCUUAAUUAUUCCAACGAUAUAUUAUAACUGUUGAUUGCUGCACCAAAAAGUUUUACGAUGAUGUGUGUUUUGAAGAAAAGAAAAAUUGAUUAAGUCUUGAACAUUAAGAGUGAUUUCUCAAUUUAUUAUAUCAAAGUUGAAUAUGCAGGAAAUACUAAUAAGAAACAGAGAAAAAACGGAAAUAAACACAACCACCAUUUUCGAAAAACAUCAAUUUUGUUUUUUGUUGAAUUUCAGAAGGAAAUAACGAUACUGUUAGUAUUUCUGCACAUCAUCACCGCAACUCCUUAGUCGGCAAUGCUAGAUAUUGCAUCGAAUGCGCAUCUUACCACGGUUACACUCCAGGUUCUCCAUGAGCUUCCAUUUGAACAUGAUACGAAAUGGUAAAUAUAUAUUUUUUUAUAAUAAUUAAUACUAAUAAUGUGAUAAGUGCAAUAUUUCCGGAAAAAAAUAUAUCCUGCUAUAGCUGAUAAUAUAAAACUAAAAUAAAUCACUUUUAAUGCCAUGUAUAUCAAAAAAGCAUACGAUGAAAUUUAAUUUGUGAUAUAGACUGAUAGGCCAAAAAUCGUUUUUUGUGUAUAAUAAUAUUAUACCCUUGAAUUAAAAUUUAACAAAUCUAUAACAGUGAUCCACUCAACACCCUUUUCCACAGCAGAGCGGUAUCCAUUCGCCCGCCUUUUAUUUGAUCUUGAGUAAAUCAAUAAUUUUCAAAGAUCCGAAACUUAUAAUACAUCAGUUAUCAACUAAACGACAAACGCCAUUAAACUUUUACAAAAAUUAUUUUCGCACGAAGCCACCUCGCAGUUAUAACAUAUAUACUGUGUAUCAUCCAUUAAACUAUAUACGAUCAUAUAUAGGAACUAACCUGGGAAACUAUAAAAUCGCCGGCUAUAAUAUUAUUAUAAUCGUGGUAUGUCUAAGAAGUUUAUACAUAUAUAGUUAUUAGUUAUUACAAAUAUAUAUGUAUCAGAUAUGGUGCAUAUAUUAUAAUAUGCAACUACCUAUAUUAUAUACCACGCGUAGGAACGGGCGCAUUCGCCGCUGCUGGAUUUGUGCAGGCGUUAUAAUUUUUUUUCUCACAAAUAAAACAGUAAUAAAAAAAUAUUAUAUAUUAGAUAUACAUAAAAAAAAAUCUUAUGAAGAAAAUAAAAAAUAGACGGUGAUAUUUCACCUAUUGCUCGGGGCGCCGCCCGAGUGUCUAGAUCCGACCCGAGAUACAUUCAUUAUUCUUUCGACUACCUGUGCGCGCACAUAAUACGACGACGUCCUGUGCACAAACAGUGUAAUUGUAUAUUAACUCAUACACGCGUGCGAGUAUACACAUAAUAACAUAACCUGUGCUGCUACACAUGAGCUAUAUUGCAAUUUGCAAUUUGAAAUCGCAAACGCGCGGCAUACAAUAUAAUAUACAUGAAUAACCUAUAGAACACACCGAGCUCAUAUUUAUGUAUACAUGUGUGAUGUGUGUGUGUGCAUAUUAUAUAUAUAUAUUAUUAUGACGUUUUAUCUACUUAUAAUAAUAUCGUAAUAUAUUAUAUUAUUAUGUACCGCGCAGCAAAAUCAUAUACGCCACUCGUAUUUCCUGUAUUUUCGUACCUACGUGUUAUAGGUAUAAUAAUGCGCGUAAAAUAAUAAUAUUAUUUUUUUAAUACGCACUCGGCGCGUGAUAUAUUAUUAUAAUAUUAUCGGUCGGCGCUAUAAACUUAACUCGCUAAAAUAACAGUUUUUUUUUUUAAUGUUCG